UGCCUGUUUAGAAUAGAUUGGACUGUGUGACUCUGUAUGGGAAGUGGAGCUUCAAAUGGAUAAGAAUGGCGACACGUGUGAAGCCACCAAGAAGUGAAGAGACCACUUAUUGUAGCUAUGGCGACAGAAUAAAUUUAUAGCGGUGAUCGGCGACGGCUUCUGCUACCGGAGAAUCAGACGACUGAUUAAUCUGUUUGUGGGUCUUGCUAUUACUUUGCUGAUGAGGUCAUCGAUGGUGUUCCCCACUAGCUAGAGUCCUUAAAGGGUACGCAACUCCAAUUGUUUGGAGACAUCUAUUGAUGUAGACGAGGACCUACCUAUCUAGAGCUUGCAAAGUUGAUAGUACCGGAGAGCCCCUUGUUGGUUUGCGCAGGAGAAGAGUUUGCAGGAUUGAGAUGCUCAAAUAAAUUAGGAUUUCCAAAUCAUUGAAAGUAAUGCUGCAAAGGGCACUAGUAUUCACUCCAGAAGCUGCAUUGCCCUUACUGCUUCACUGGGAAGUGUGUUUUUUCCUGCAUUUUAGAAAUAAACCUUAGGAUGUUUCAGAAAAUGAGAUGUUUCAUUUUGGAGGCAUUUCCUCACUUGAAAUGCACUGUCCUUGAUCUUCCACAUGUUGCUGCUGACAUGCCAAAAAGUGAGAAUUUAAGCUAUGUAGGAGGGGCUAUGUUUCAAUCUAUUCCACAUGUUGCUGAUGCCAUUUUGCUUAAGCAAGUAUUGCACAGUUGGAGAGAUGAGGAUUGUGUCAAGCUACUGAAGAAAUGCAGAGAAGCUAUUGCAUUGACAUGGUGUUAAGACACAAACGAAGAUGAACCAGACAUGACUGAAGUAAAGCUCAUGUUUGACAUGUUGAUGGCAAUGGUUUUCACCGCAAAAGAAAGAACGGAACAAGAACUAUUCCUUGAAGCUGGCUUUACUCGUUACACCAAUCUUUGGCCUUAGGUCACUUAUUGAGGUGAGGAAAUGCCUCCAAAAUGGUCUUAGCUAUAGUCAGUCCCAACUAAUUUGGGAGUGAAAUGUAGUUGGUUAAUUUUUUUUUAUGUAUCCCUGCCCAUCUGCCCAGGAAGACGGGGGCAGAAACACAUUAGCAAAUGUAAUUUACUGAAUUGUUUUCUUACUUAACGAACAUCACAUGUUCAUGCUAUCACUUUUUCUUUCC